CCUACGGGUGGCAGCAGUGGGGAAUAUUGGGCAAUGGGCGCAAGCCUGACCCAGCAACGCCGCGUGAAGGAAGAAGGCUUUCGGGUUGUAAACUUCUUUUCUCAGGGACGAAGCAAGUGACGGUACCUGAGGAAUAAGCCACGGCUAACUACGUGCCAGCAGCAGCGGUAAUACGUAGGUGGCAAGCGUUAUCCGGAUUUACUGGGUGGAAAGGGCGUGUAGGCGGGCAAGCAAGUCAGAUGUGAAAACCAUGGGCUCAACCUGUGGCCUGCAUUUGAAACUGUUUUUCUUGAGUACUGGGGAGGCAGACGGAAUUCCUAGUGUAGCGGUGAAAUGCGUAGAUAUUAGGAGGAACACCAGGGGCGAAGGCGGUCUACUGGACAGCAACUGACGCUGAGGCGCGAAAGCGUGGGGAGCAAACAGGAUUAGAUACCCUGGUAGUC
rnacentral:rRNA from 1 species